rnacentral:rRNA from 1 species
AUUGAACGCUGGCGGCAUGCUUUACACAUGCAAGUCGAACGGCAACGCGGAGAAGCUUGCUUCUCUGUCGGCGAGUGGCGCACGGGUGAGUAUAGCAUCGGAACGUGCCAAGUAGUGGGGGAUAACCAAACGAAAGUUUGGCUAAUACCGCGUAAGCUCCAAGGAGGAAAGUAGGGGACCUAAAUAAGGCCUUACGCUAUUUGAUCGGCCGAUGUCGGAUUAGCUAGUUGGUGGGGUAAUGGCUCACCAAGGCAAUGAUCCGUAGCGGGUCUGAGAGGACGAUCCGCCACACUGGGACUGAGACACGGCCCAGACUCCUACGGGAGGCAGCAGUGGGGAAUUUUGGACAAUGGGGGAAACCCUGAUCCAGCCAUGCCGCGUGUAUGAAGAAGGCCUUAGGGUUGUAAAGUACUUUUGUUAGGGAAGAAAAGCUAGUUUUUAAUAAAAAGUAGUGAUGACGGUACCUAAAGAAUAAGCACCGGCUAACUACGUG